AGGUGGCUUCCUCACCUGCAAAACAAAGGACUCUCCCUGCUGACUUAGUGCAUCCAGCCUGUGCUCCAGGAGAAUGGGCAGCAGAGUGAAGAUUGAGGAAACUGCCUAUAAAAUCCUUGAGGAGAAGCCUGCUGUAAAUACAAAGCAUUUUUAUUAUUGCAUCACUGCAGACAGUGUUAUCACUUCUUUUCUUCAACACGUGUAACCUCCCACAAAGAAUAAGGCUAUUUGCUAGAUUAGAUGCCACUUUUGGUGACAGGUCAGAGAAAGAAGCUGGGUUUGAUGCGGACUGACAGCCCUCCCUUUCUCUGAGUGUGCGUGUGAAACAAUCUUUGCAGCUACAGAGCCAUCCGAUGGUAUUGAUCCAGAUGUGGAAAUUGGUAUUGACUGCUGCUGCGGCUCUGUGCACUUCCCCGGCUUUUAAAGACACAGCAUAUAGGUGAUUUCACUUUGCACAUGACAAAGCUCUGGAGACAUUUGCUGAAACAAACUAAAUAAUACAAAUUAAAAAUCGGGUUUUAUAUCUUACUCCCUCACUUAAACGAAAUGAGAAGACAAAGAGCUUCCAAACGAUGACAUUAAAAAGGAAAGUGUGAUGCACCUUUCCAAGAAGAAAGAACAAUUUGUUUGCACGUUAAUUUCAUCCUGACCACUGGUAAAUGUCUAAGUACAGCCUCAAUGUUGUUAAAAUCCUUAGAGGACCUGAAAGCUUAAUGGCAAGUGUGGUCUGUGAGUCAGAGAUGUUGUAGUAGUUCUCUAUUGCUGCUCUAAAAAAUUAUCACAAACUUAGCGAAGUAAAACAACACAGAUUUACUGUCUUAUAGCUCUGUAGGCUGGAAGUCCAAUAUCAUUCUCACUGGAUGAAAAUUAAGGUGUUGGCAGUCUUUGUUCUUUCUGGAGUUUUUACGGGAAAAUCUGUUUUCUGCUCAGUUCAGAUUGGUGACAGAAUUCAGCUCUUUGUGGUUGGAGGACUGAGGUCUGAGCUUCAGGAGGCUGUGACACUCCUUGGCUUGUACCUCUUUUUCCAUCUUCAACGCCAGCUUCUGGCAUCUUUCUGGCCAACUCUUGUUUUCAUCAUUUUUAAGGACUCUUGUGACUAUGCUGGAUUGACCAGAAUAACACAGGAUAAUGUCCCCCAUCAAGGUUCUUCACCUUAAUCGGGUUUAAUAAUUCCCUGUUGCCAUGCAAAGUAACAUAUUCACAGGUCCUGGGCAUUGGAAUAUGGGCAUGCUUGGGAAAAAAGAGUUGGCAUUAUUCUGCCUACGGCAAAUGUCAUGGUUCUAUGCUACUUUCAACUCUGUUUCAGGACAGGCUAGCAGAGAUUUUUUUUUUCCUUAAAAACUAACACUUGAUUUUUAAUAAUAGACAGCAAUGUUAUUCAUGCAUUGUUUGUGAGCACUUCCACAAUGGAUGUACAUUCACACAAUGGAUAGAACCGUCGG
rnacentral:lncRNA from 10 species